CACUUUCAUCCUUACCCGCCCUAAGCCCCUAAUUCAUUUCACUCACCCCUCCCUCACGUUCUGCUUGCUUCUUCUGUUAAAAAAAAAAAGUUCUUGCUUCAAACUCCACCACCUCACUCUCCACCACCUCACUUUCCACAACCAUCGCCGACCGUUCCUCCUCGUCAGUCUCUACAAGCGGCCGCCGCAGCCUCACCGUCGAAUUGUAGGACGAAACCCUAAUCAGUGAUGAUGAUAUUACUGCGUACCCUGAAACCUCUGGAGAAUUAUUAAUUAUCUCUUAAAAACAUUUCCAAGGAAGUUUGUUGAACAAAUGAGAAGUGAAGGCCAAACAUAUGAUCACUUUUGUCCUUGCUAGCUUGGCACCAACCACCUUUAAUUGUGACUUUGGGAACAUUGGAUGCUUUUGGUAAUCUGUGUACCUACUUGCACUAUUUAUCAAUUUGACUCUGCUCGACCAACCACGACAAGGAGAAAUGUUAAAAUGAAGACUAUUGUGAGCUUUUUUUUCACGAGGUUUAAGCUAAAUGGAAACCGUGUGAAUAGAAAAGAACCUCUAUGGAAACUUGUGAAGUGUGCUCAACAAAGAGGUGGUACCGAGUGUGGCUUUUACACAAUGAGAUACAUGUAUGACAUACUCUCCAAAUACGGUGAAGAAAAUGAUAUUGAUGAGGUUUGCAUGUCUUUAAAUGAAGAUCCUUACACUGAUGAUGAUAUUGAAGAAGUGCGGAACAUAUGGGCAUCAUAUUUCACUAAUUAUU